GUGUGUGUGUGUGUGUGUGUGUGUGCAUGUGUGUGAGUGAUAGGCAUUCCAGACUCACCUUUCAACGGAAGGAACGAGUAUUGUAAAUCUGCAAACUUACAUGCCAUGCGUCAGAUGCGUCUCGGUAAGAAAGCAAAGUACAGGAGUUACAUCGAUGGUGUCGAUGCUCCUGGGGCCGUCCACGCUGGGACCAAAGUCUACUCAGCUGAUGCAUGAGUUAGCGCUCCGGUGUCUACUGAGACAAAACCACUGGAUCCAUCCAUCCAUCACCUACCGCUUAUCCGGGGCCGGGUCGCGGGGGCAACAGUUUAGCAGGGAAGCCAAGACUUCCCUCUCCCUAGCUACUUCGUCCAGCUCUCCCCGGGGGAUCCCGAGUCGUUCCCAGGCAUGUUGGGUGACAUAGUCUCUCCAGCGUGUCCUGGGUCUUCCUCGGGGUCUCCUCCCGGUGGGGCAUGACCGGAACACCUCACCGGAGAGGCGCUCAGGAGGCAUCCGAAUCAGAUGCCCAAGCCACCUCAUCUCGAUGUGGAGGAGAAGCGGCUCGACUCUGAGCCCCUCCCGGAUGACUGAGCUUCUCACCUUAUCUCUAAGGGAGAGCCUGGACACCCUGCGGAGAAAACUCAUUUCGGACGCUUGUAACCGGGAUCUCGUUCUUUCGGUCACGACCCAUAGCUCGUGACCAUAGAUGAGGGUUGGAACGUAGAUCGACCGGUAAAUUGAGAGCUUCGCUCUUUGGCUCAGCUCCUUCUUCACAACGACAGACCCAUACAAUGUCCGCACCACUGGAUCCACGCAGUCAUAAAUAUUUUAAGUGAUGUUCUGCCGGGCUGUUGUUAUAAGUUCCACUGGUUUUGAUACCAAGUUUGUUGAAUCCUUGUUUGUCUUAAGUAUGACCCAAAGCAGCAGACAUGGGAGCCACCAUUACAGUAUCAUUAACCGUUAUGCCCCUUCUCCUCCCACUUCUCUCCCCCCACUGACUGUAUAUCUCAAAUAUAUUAUGACCCUUUCAGAGUUGUGACUUAGUGA